UUAUACCGUGAAACUGCGAAUGGCUCAUUAAAUCAGUUAUCGUUUAUUUGAUAGUACCUUACUACUUGGAUAACCGUGGUAAUUCUAGAGCUAAUACAUGCUGAAAACCCCAACUUCGGGAGGGGUGUAUUUAUUAGAUAAAAAACCAACGCCCUUCGGGGCUUCUUGGUGAUUCAUGAUAACUUCACGGAUCGCAUGGCCUUGCGCCGGCGACGGUUCAUUCAAAUUUCUGCCCUAUCAACUUUCGAUGGUAAGGUAUUGGCUUACCAUGGUUUCAACGGGUAACGGGGAAUUAGGGUUCGAUUCCGGAGAGGGAGCCUGAGAAACGGCUACCACAUCCAAGGAAGGCAGCAGGCGCGCAAAUUACCCAAUCCCGACACGGGGAGGUAGUGACAAUAAAUACUGAUACAGGGCUCUUUUGGGUCUUGUAAUUGGAAUGAGUACAAUUUAAACCUCUUAACGAGGAACAAUUGGAGGGCAAGUCUGGUGCCAGCAGCCGCGGUAAUUCCAGCUCCAAUAGCGUAUAUUAAAGUUGUUGCAGUUAAAAAGCUCGUAGUUGAAACUUGGGCCUGGCUGGCAGGUCCGCCUCACCGCGUGUACUUGUCCGGCCGGGCCUUUCCUUCUGGAGAACCUCAUGCCCUUCACUGGGUGUGUUGGGGAACCAGGACUUUUACUUUGAAAAAAUUAGAGUGUUCAAAGCAGGCCUUUGCUCGAAUACGUUAGCAUGGAAUAAUAGAAUAGGACGUGCGGUCCUAUUUUGUUGGUUUCUAGGACCGCCGUAAUGAUUAAUAGGGACAGUCGGGGGCAUCAGUAUUCAAUUGUCAGAGGUGAAAUUCUUGGAUUUAUUGAAGACUAACUACUGCGAAAGCAUUUGCCAAGGAUGUUUUCAUUAAUCAGUGAACGAAAGUUAGGGGAUCGAAGACGAUCAGAUACCGUCGUAGUCUUAACCGUAAACUAUGCCGACUAGGGAUCGGGCGAUGUUCUUUUUCUGACUCGCUCGGCACCUUACGAGAAA
rnacentral:rRNA from 1 species